AUACCUUUCUUGGCCUUUUGGCUAAGAUCAACCGUAGUAUUUGUUCUUAUCAGUUUAAUAUGAGUACUCACACGAUAUUAACUCAAUUUUUUUAGGGAGAGAGUCUACCACAAUAGUGGGCUCUCAAGUAUUGUCUUGGCGUUGCACUAUUGCCUUGGCCUGGCACACCUUGC
rnacentral:snRNA from 1 species